UACGUAGGGGCCUAGCGUUGUCCGGAAUUACUGGGCGUAAAGCGCACGUAGGCGGAUUUGUAAGUCAGGGUGAAAUCCCGGGGCUCAACCUCGGAACUGCCUUUGAUACUGCAAGUCUCGAGUCCGAUAGAGGUGAGUGGAAUUCCUAGUGUAGAGGUGAAAUUCGUAGAUAUUCGCAAGAACACCAGUGGCGAAGGCGGCUCACUGGCCCGGAACUGACGCUGAGGUGCGAAAGCGUGGGGAGCAAACAGG
rnacentral:rRNA from 1 species